rnacentral:lncRNA from 1 species
GUGGACUAUUCAAUCAUGCAUGAAUUGAUUUCUUUUUUUUUUUAUGUCCAUACCACUUUAUACCAUGCAUUCCUCACAAACUUAUAAAGUUUUCGUUGUGACAUUUGGACAACAUAUUGCAAAGAGAAAUAGAUUAUUUUUGAGUUCAAAGUGUGUCCUCUUUAUCAAAUUUGGAGUAUGUGAGAAGUUAAACUAGUAACUAGGUUAAUUCAAGCUUAUCGACACAACAUUGAUUGCUAGAGGCCUAUUAACUUACUUCAGAAGUGCCAAAUGUAUGUUGGGUGAAGGAGAUGUCAAAGGUCCAAUUAUCGGUUCAAGAUAAUCAGUUUGACUAUAAAAAAUCUAUCAUUUACC